ACACUAACCUGGCAGGGGAGACACCAUGAUCAGGAAGGNGGUNCACCCAGGGCGAGGCUCUGCCAUUGCACUGAGGCAGUACUGACCCUUGCGAAUNCCCCAAAUGNGGGAAUCUCGACUGCAUAAUUUCUGUUAGUGGGGGACUGCGUACGCGCUCUCCCCUG
rnacentral:snRNA from 1 species